GUGCAAAAUGGUGCAAAAUGAAUAGUGUUGCGCCAUAUUCAAAAUGGUGCAAAGUGAAUAGUGUUGCGCCAAAUAUGGUGCAACACUAUUCACUUUGCACCAUUUUGCAC
rnacentral:miRNA from 1 species